rnacentral:rRNA from 1 species
CGUAGCUCCUUCGACGAGUCGAGUUGUUUGGGAAUGCAGCUCUAAAUGGGAGGUAAAUUUCUUCUAAAGCUAAAUACCGGCCAGAGACCGAUAGCGCACAAGUAGAGUGAUCGAAAGAUGAAAAGCACUUUGGAAAGAGAGUUAAAAAGCACGUGAAAUUGUUGAAAGGGAAGGGCAUGCAACCAGACUUGUCGGCGGUGUUCCGCCGGUCUUCUGACCGGUCUACUCGCCGCCGGCAGGCCAGCAUCACUUGGGCGCGCCGGAUAAAGGCGCGAGGAAUGUAGCCCCUCGGGGUGUUAUAGCCUCGCGUACAAUACGGCGCCGCCCGAGUGAGGUCCGCGCUUCGGCUAGGAUGCUGGCGUAAUGGUUGUUUGCCGCCCGUCUUGAAACACGGACCAAGGAGUCUAACAUCUAUGCGAGUGUUCGGGUGUCAAACCCCUACGCGGAAUGAAAGUGAACGGAGGUGGGAAGCGCAAGCUGCACCAUCGACCGAUCCUGAUGUCUUCGGAUGGAUUUGAGUAAGAGCAUAGCUGUUGGGACCCGAAAGAUGGUGAACUAUGCCUGAAUAGGGUGAAGCCAGAGGAAACUCUGGUGGAGGCUCGCAGCGGUUCUGACGUGCAAAUCGAUCGUCAAA